GUAGAGCAUUCUAUAGUACUUCCUGUAGAGCAUUCUAUAGUACUUCCUGUGGAGCAUUCUAUAGUACUUUCUGUAGAGCAUUCUAUAGUACUUCCUGUAGAGCAUUCUAUAGUACUUCCUGUAGAGCAUUCUAUAGUACUUCCUGUAGAGCAUUCUAUAGUACUUUCUGUAGAGCAUUCAUGUUUGUAUCUCUCCCUGUACACACACUGCUCUGGAGCACCUGUUUUAAAUCAUGUAACACUGGAAAUGCACAACUCUGAGCUGUAGGUGGACAUGAUGUACAUGUAUGUGGUCAUGACUCUGAGCUGUAGGUGGACAUGAUGUACAUGUAUGUGGUCAUGACUCUGAGCUGUAGGUGGACAUGAUGUACAUGUAUGUGGUCAUGACUCUGAGCUGUAGGUGGACAUGAUGUACAUGUAUGUGGUCAUGACUCUGAGCUGUAGGUGGACAUGAUGUACAUGUAUGUGGUCAUGACUCUGAGCUGUAGGUGGACAUGAUGUACAUGUAUGUGGUCAUGGCUGAGCUGUAGGUGGACAUGAUGUACAUGUAUGUGGUCAUGACUCUGAGCUGUAGGUGGACAUGAUGUACAUGUAUGUGGUCAUGACUCUGAGCUGUAGGUGGACAUGAUGUACAUGUAUGUGGUCAUGACUCUGAGCUGUAGGUGGACAUGAUGUACAUGUAUGUGGUCAUGACUGAGCUGUAGGUGGACAUGAUGUACAUGUAUGUGGUCAUGACUCUGAGCUGUAGGUGGACAUGAUGUACAUGUAUGUGGUCAUGACUGAGCUGUAGGUGAACAUGAUGUGUGUGGUCAUGACUGGCGGAAGUGGCGAUGUUCUUUAUACCCACUCUGAAUAUAUCUCACUCAAAUAAGGCUUUAAUAAAAAACGUUUUGUAUUUUA